GCUUGGUAGCUAAGUUGGUAAAACACUUGUCUAGCAUACAAGAGACGUAAGUUCGAAUCUUUCGUUUGAGCA
rnacentral:tRNA from 2 species